AAAAAGUUCAACAAAAAAAAUAGUAUGUUUAUUGAGAAAAAGAUGAAAUUAAAAAAGAAAAAUAGAAGAGGAUUUUUAACUUGUCAUCCUUCAACAGAUAAUGGAAGUUAUAGAUAUCAUAUAUUUUUUUGUGGGAGAUGGAAGUUAGUUUAUCAAUUGGUAACCAACAAAAGAUACUAAUCACUCAAGUUAUUUAUAAAAAAGAUAAAGGGUAAUUUUGGAACAAAA
rnacentral:lncRNA from 1 species